CAGCUCUGGGUUUUCUUCAGCUCACGCACAUAUCUUUCGCCUUUUACUAAAGAUAUCCGUGGAGAAGACCAAAUUGAUGAGUCUCAUCAACAUUUUUCGAUAGUCCCACUUCGCGUGGGCAA
rnacentral:snRNA from 1 species